rnacentral:lncRNA from 1 species
UAAAAUCCACAAUGCAACUACGGGCAUUGUGACAAUUCAUUCCCAAGAACAAUAUCUCAUACAUCAUCAGAAGUCCGCUCAAGGCAAUAAAAAAUAGAAGUAGUCACAAAUCAUCAAAGGAAACAACGAUCAAGAAAGGAGACGUCCUCGCUAUGAUCCAAUCCCAAUGUCUUAUACGCAUCCGUUACCUAUAAUGAUUAAUGUUGAGGCAAUUGUGACAAAAGAG